rnacentral:misc_RNA from 1 species
GAUGAAGAACGCAGCGAAAUGCGAUACGUAAUGCGAAUUGCAGAAUUCAGUGAAUCAUCGAGUCUUUGAACGCACAUUGCGCCCCCUGGUAUUCCGGGGGGCAUGCCUGUCCGAGCGUCAUUGCUGCCCUCAAGCACGGCUUGUGUGUUGGGCCUCCGUCCUCCUCCCGGGGGACGGGCCCGAAAGGCAGCGGCGGCACCGCGUCCGGUCCUCGAGCGUAUGGGGCUUCGUCACCCGCUCUUGUAGGCCCGGCCGGCGCUUGCCGACACAUCAAUCUUUUUUCCAGGUUGACCUCGGAUCAGGUAGGGAUACCCGCUGAACUUAAGCAUAUCAAUAAGCGGAGGA